rnacentral:rRNA from 1 species
ACAUCCAGAGAAUUUAGCAGAGAUGCUUUAGUGCCUUCGGGAACUCUGAGACAGGUGCUGCAUGGCUGUCGUCAGCUCGUGUUGUGAAAUGGUUGGGUUAAGUCCCGNAACGAGCGCAACCCUUAUCCUUUGUUGCCAGCACGUAAUGGUGGGAACUCAAAGGAGACUGCCGGUGAUAAACCGGAGGAAGGCGGGGAUGACGUCAAGUCAUCAUGGCCCUUACGAGUAGGGCUACACACGUGCUACAAUGGCGCAUACAAAGAGAAGCGACCUCGCGAGAGCAAGCGGACCUCAUAAAGUGCGUCGUAGUCCGGAUUGGAGUCUGCAACUCGACUCCAUGAAGUCGGAAUCGCUAGUAAUCGUAAAUCAGAAUGUUACGGUGAAUACGUUCCCGGGCCUUGUACACACCGCCCGUCACACCAUGGGAGUGGGUUGCAAAAGAAGUAGAUAGCUUAACCUUCGGGAGGGCGUUUACCACUUUGUGAUUCAUGACUGGGGUGAAGUCGUAACAAGGUAAGCGUAGUGCU